UGGGGAAUUUUGGACAAUGGGCGCAAGCCUGAUCCAGCCAUGCCGCGUGUCUGAAGAAGGCCUUCGGGUUGUAAAGGACUUUUGUCAGGGAAGAAAAGGGCGGGGUCAAUACCCCUGUCUGAUGACGGUACCUGAAGAAUAAGCACCGGCUAACUACGUGCCAGCAGCCGCGGUAAUACGUAGGGUGCGAGCGUUAAUCGGAAUUACUGGGCGUAAAGCGGGCGCAGACGGUUACUUAAGCAGGAUGUGAAAUCCCCGGGCUCAACCUGGGAACUGCGUUCUGAACUGGGUGACUAGAGUGUGUCAGAGGGAGGUAGAAUUCCACGUGUAGCAGUGAAAUGCGUAGAGAUGUGGAGGAAUACCGAUGGCGAAGGCAGCCUCCUGGGAUAACACUGACGUUCAUGCCCGAAAGCGUGGGUAGCAAACA
rnacentral:rRNA from 1 species